CAGCAGCCGCGGUAAUACGGAGGGUGCAAGCGUUAAUCGGAAUUACUGGGCGUAAAGCGCACGCAGGCGGUUUGCUAAGUCAGAUGUGAAAUCCCCGAGCUUAACUUGGGAACUGCAUUUGAAACUGGCAAGCUAGAGUCUUGUAGAGGGGGGUAGAAUUCCAGGUGUAGCGGUGAAAUGCGUAGAGAUCUGGAGGAACACCGGUGGCGAAGGCGGCCCCCUGGACAAAGACUGACGCUCAGGUGCGAAAGCGUGGGGAGCAAACAGGAUUAGAUACCCCAGUAGUCCCUGUCUCUUAUAA
rnacentral:rRNA from 1 species